UACAGAGGUCCCAAGCGUUGUUCGGAUUCAUUGGGCGUAAAGGGUGCGUAGGUGGCGCUGUAAGUCGGGUGUGAAAUUUCGGAGCUUAACUCCGAAACUGCAUUCGAUACUGCGGUGCUCGAGGACUGGAGAGGAGACUGGAAUUCAUGGUGUAGCAGUGAAAUGCGUAGAGAUCAUGAGGAAGACCAGUGGCGAAGGCGGGUCUCUGGACAGUUCCUGACACUGAGACACGAAGGCCAGGGGAGCAAACGGG
rnacentral:rRNA from 1 species